CUGUGCAAAUUCGUGUCUAGUUGCAAUAAGCUUAUCAAGAACCUCAAGGUUUGCAUGUGGAACAGAAUUUCCUUGAACAUAUGCCACCUUCCUGACCCCAGCAUCUGGUGCACAUUGAAGAAAGCCUUGCAGAGUACUUGACUCAGUUGCUAAGCGAAAUCCCUUUUCUUUGGUUUUAUCUCUUAACCCCCAAGAUCCCUUAGAUGAACCUGGCAGGUUACGAUGGAUAGGGCUGACAAGGUGGUGCAAUUUUUUAGGGAUCUUAGAAGCUGG
rnacentral:misc_RNA from 1 species